GACGAACGCUGGCGGCGUGCCUAAUACAUGCAAGUAGAACGCUGAAGGAGGAGCUUGCUUCUCUGGAUGAGUUGCGAACGGGUGAGUAACGCGUAGGUAACCUGCCUGGUAGCGGGGGAUAACUAUUGGAAACGAUAGCUAAUACCGCAUAACAGUAGAUAUCGCAUGAUAUCUACUUGAAAGGUGCAAUUGCAUCACUACCAGAUGGACCUGCGUUGUAUUAGCUAGUUGGUGAGGUAACGGCCCACCAAGGCGACGAUACAUAGCCGACCUGAGAGGGUGAUCGGCCACACUGGGACUGAGACACGGCCCAGACGCCUACGGGAGGCAGCAGUAGGGAAUCUUCGGCAAUGGACGGAAGUCUGACCGAGCAACGCCGCGUGAGUGAAGAAGGUUUUCGGAUCGUAAAGCUCUGUUGUAAGAGAAGAACGAGUGUGAGAGUGGAAAGUUCACACUGUGACGGUAUCUUACCAGAAAGGGACGGCUAACUACGUG
rnacentral:rRNA from 1 species